rnacentral:rRNA from 1 species
UACGUAGGCAGCAAGCGUUGUUCGGAGUUACUGGGCGUAAAGGGCGUGUAGGCGGCUGCUUAAGUUUGGUGUGAAAUCUCCCGGCUCAACCGGGAGGGUGCGCCGAAUACUGAGUGACUCGAGUGCGGGAGAGGAGAGUGGAAUUCCUGGUGUAGCGGUGAAAUGCGUAGAUAUCAGGAGGAACACCGGUGGUGUAGACGGCUCUCUGGACCGUAACUGACGCUGAGACACGAAAGCGUGGGUAGCAAACAGG